rnacentral:rRNA from 1 species
ACGUGUAGCAGUGAAAUGCGUAGAGAUGUGGAGGAACACCGAUGGCGAAGGCAGCCCCCUGGGAUAACACUGACGCUCAUGCACGAAAGCGUGGGGAGCAAACAGGAUUAGAUACCCUGGUAGUCCACGCCCUAAACGAUGUCAACUGGUUGUUGGAAGGGUAACCUUUUAGUAACGAAGCCAACGCGUGAAGUUGACCGCCUGGGGAGUACGGUCGCAAGAUUAAAACUCAAAGGAAUUGACGGGGACCCGCACAAGCGGUGGAUGAUGUGGUUUAAUUCGAUGCAACGCGAAAAACCUUACCUACACUUGACAUGCCAGAAAUCCUGCAGAGAUGUGGGAGUGCCGCAAGGAAUCUGGGCACAGGUGCUGCAUGGCUGUCGUCAGCUCGUGUCGUGAGAUGUUGGGUUAAGUCCCGCAACGAGCGCAACCCUUGUCACUAGUUGCUACAUUUAGUUGGGCACUCUAGUGAGACUGCCGGUGACAAACCGGAGGAAGGUGUGGAUGACGUCAAGUCCUCAUGGCCCUUAUGUGUAGGGCUACACACGUCAUACAAUGGUCGGUACAGAGGGUUGCCAACCCGCGAGGGGGAGCUAAUCUCACAUAGCCGAUCGUAGUCCGGAUCGCAGUCUGCAACUCGACUGCAUGAAGUCGGAAUCGCUAGUAAUCGUGGAUCAGCAUGUCUCGGUGAAUACGUUCCCGGGUCUUGUACACACCGCCCGUCACACCAUGGGAGUGGAAUCCGCCAGAAGUAGUUAGCCUAACCGCAAGGAGGGCGAUUACCACGGUAGGUUUCAUGACUGGGGUG